GUUUGCGAUUCAAACAGUCCAUUGAGUCCAGCAAAGGUGUCGUCUGCAUUCUACAUCAUUACUGUCUGAUUUUCACACGAGGAUAAUAGUAAAAGUGAAAAUGCAUUGGAUACCUAUAGAAGAAAUCCCAAACAGUAUAUUGUAUAGUGAUACGCUCGAAGAGUAUGUCAUAGACGCAAGGGAUUCAAGAAACCCAAAAGAAAUAAAUGAAGUCAUCGAACGCCACAAGGCAGGUUGUCAUUUGCUGGAGGAGGAGGAUCGUAAACUCCAAAUGAUAGAAAACUCAGAAAUGAAUCUAACAGAUUAUACCGAAAGCAGCAGUGGCCGUUGGAUAGUGCAGCACAAUACCAAUCGGGGGCAUCACUGAAAACAUAAUGGAAUGUUAUAUUGUAAUACUCAAUGCAGUUCUAUGUGGAUUUUCAUUGUGUUGUAAUUUCAAUUUCCAUUGUGAUAUAAAUGUAAUGUGAGAGACAGCAUCAAAAAGAUUUACACACGUCUUUGUUUAUUUGAAACUUAAGAGUUGUAGGGGUUGCCGGUUGCGAUUGUACGGGUACUGCCUUUAUGGGUACAUAAUAAAAGUGAAGUAAAUACAGAUAGAAAUUUGUUAUUACGAGGCAGCACGAAAUCUGAAAGCAAACUUGACAAAUAAGAAAAUAUAGCACAAGUGGGUUGAUGUGUCCGCUCAGCUACUACAUUCCGUAACACAAAUAUAAGUAACAUUGCACUUGACAUAAAAUGUUAAAGCGAGAAA